CAAUAGCGUAUAUUAAAGUUGUUGCAGUUAAAAAGCUCGUAGUUGGAUUUCUGGUGGGAGCGAUCGGUCUGGCGCUUAGCGCGAGUACUUGCAUCGUCUCCGGCCAUCCUUGGGGAGAGUCUGUCUGGCAUUAGGUUGUCGGGCAGAGGAUCCUCAUCGUUUACUGUGAAAAAAUUAGAGUGUUCAAAGCAGGCCUACGCUCUGAAUACAUUAGCAUGGAAUAACACGAUAGGACUCUGGCCUAUCUUGUUGGUCUGUAGGACCGGAGUAAUGAUUAAGAGGGACAGUCGGGGGCAUUCGUAUUUCAUUGUCAGAGGUGAAAUUCUUGGAUUUAUGAAAGACGAACUACUGCGAAAGCAUUUGCCAAGGAUGUUUUCAUUAA
rnacentral:rRNA from 1 species